AUAACGACUCUCGGCAACGGAUAUCUCGGCUCUCGCAUCGAUGNAGAACGUAGCGAAAUGCGAUACUUGGUGUGAAUUGCAGAAUCCCGUGANNNNUCGAGUCUUUGAACGCAAGUUGCGCCCUAAGCCAUUUGGCCGAGGGCACGUCUGCCUGGGCGUCAAUC
rnacentral:rRNA from 1 species